GUGCACCAUGCGAGAAUUUUUCUCAAUGGGCGCAAGCCUGAAGGAGCGACGCCGCGUGGGGGAUGAAGGGUUUCGAUCCGUAAACCCCUGUCAUUUGCGAACAAACCCUGAGGUUUAAGAGAUAUCAGGCUGAUUGUAGCGAAAGAGGAAGGGACGGCUAACUCUGUGCCAGCAGCCGCGGUAAUACAGAGGUCCCAAGCGUUGUUCGGAUUCACUGGGCGUAAAGGGUGCGUAGGUGGCUUGGUAAGUUUGAUGUGAAAUCUCCGGGCUUAACCCGGAAAUGGCAUUGAAUACUAUUGAGCUGGAGGUUUGGAGGGGGGACUGGAAUUCUCGGUGUAGCAGUGAAAUGCGUAGAUAUCGAGAGGAACACCAGUGGCGAAGGCGAGUCCCUGGACAACACCUGACACUGAGGCACGAAAGCUAGGGGAGCAAACAGGAUUAGAUACCCCCGUAGU
rnacentral:rRNA from 1 species